rnacentral:rRNA from 1 species
GCCAUCGCUCAACGGAUAAAAGGUACUCUGGGGAUAACAGGCUGAUACCGCCCAAGAGUUCAUAUCGACGGCGGUGUUUGGCACCUCGAUGUCGGCUCAUCUCAUCCUGGGGCUGUAGCCGGUCCCAAGGGUAUGGCUGUUCGCCAUUUAAAGAGGUACGUGAGCUGGGUUCAAAACGUCGUGAGACAGUUUGGUCCCUAUCUUCCGUGGGCGCUGCAGAUUUGAGAAAGCCUGCUCCUAGUACGAGAGGACCGGAGUGGACGCACCCCUGGUGUACCUGUUGUCACGCCCGUGGCAUCGCAGGGUAGCUAAGUGCGGAAGAGAUAACCGCUGAAAGCAUCUAAGCGGGAAACUCGUUUCAAGAUGAGAUCUGCCGGGGCCUUGAGCCCCCUAAAGAGUCGUUCAAGACCAGGACGUUGAUAGGCUGGGUGUGGAAGUGCAGCAAUGCAUUAAGCUAACCAGUACUAAUUGCUCGUGCGGCUUGACCCU